GACGAACGCUGGCGGCGUGCUUAACACAUGCAAGUCGAACGAAGUGGCGAACGGGUGAGUAACGCGUAAUCAACCUGCCCUUCAGAGGGGGACAACAGUUGGAAACGACUGCUAAUACAGCAUACUGAAGGAGGGGAUUGGGUCUGAUUAGCUAGGUGGCGGGGUAACGGCCCACCAAGGCGAAGAUCAGUAGCCGGUCGGAGAGGAUGAACUGCAAACUUGGGACUGAGACACGGCCCAGAAUCCUACGGGAGGCAGCAGUGGGGAAACUUCCGCAAUGGACGAAAGUCUGACGGAGCAACGCCGCGGGAGUGAUGACGGCCUUCGGGUUGUAAAGCUCUGUUAAUCGGGACGCGGUACCGGAAUAGAAAGCCACGGCUAACUACGUGCCAGCAGCCGCGGUAAUUC
rnacentral:rRNA from 1 species